AUACUUAUUUGGCCGGGAAGAUACCAUGAUAAUGAAAGUUGUUUCCCCAUGGUGAGGCUUAUUCAUUGCACUCCAGAUGUGCUGACCCCUGUGACUUCUCCAAAUGUGGAAAGCUCAACAGUAUAGUUUGAGGGUAGUGGGAGACUGCAUUUGCAGUCUUCAC